GCCUCCAUGGUGUAACGGUAGCACACUCAGCAUGUAUUCAAGAGGUCCAGGUUCGAGUCCUAGUGAGGGCA
rnacentral:tRNA from 1 species